GGCGGAUUCCGCGGCCGCUGAAGAGUUUAAUCCUGGCUAAGGACGAACGCUGGCGGCGUGCUAAAAAAAUGAAAGUCGAACGGGAAACCCUUCCCCGAAGUUUUCGGAUGGAGGGGAGGGUUUUAUGUGGCGAACGGGUGAGAAACGCGUGAGAAACCUGUCCUGAAGAGGGGGAAAAAAACGGGAAACUGUUGCUAAUACCGAAUGAGACCCCGGUUCCGAAUGGUGCUGAGGAAAAAGGUGGAAUCCGCUGAAGGAGGGGCUCGCGUCCAAUAAGAAAGUUGGUGAGGAAACGGCUAACCAAGUCUGCGGUGGGAAGCCGAACUAAGAGGUUGGACGGCAAAACUGGGACUAAGGAACGGCCCAGACUCCUUCGGGGGGACAGACAGUGGGAAAAUAUUGGGAAAAUGGGGCGAAAGCUUAACCCCGAAAACGCCGCGGUG
rnacentral:rRNA from 1 species